UUUGCCUCAAAGAAGUCCUGAACUGUUUCUGUUGGAUGAAAGGAAGCUGGAAAAACCUGGGAACCUCCGAGGCUUAAAGCGUAACAUGAACUGAUAACAGCUAGAAAACCAGCGUCACCAUCCAGGCUAAGGAAGCUCUAAAAUGGCAAGGAAGCCCCAGAAUACCAAACUACCACCACCAUGUUUGACUGGAUCAAAAUGUAGCUGCUCACUACAAACUCUGUCUGUUUUGGCUAGACGUUGGUGAUUUGCCCUCAAUGUUGUCAUCAGGGUUGUUUUCAAACAGUUUUAACCAGGAAACCUUUGAGCUGCACUGGAAGCUGUCUGUCCAGGAACACACGCCAUCUCUUAGUGACUCAGGGUGGAAUAAAGUCAAUGAGGAAGCAAUUUGGGAGCCAUGAAUUCCAGCUGC